CUUAAAGAAGUAGCUGUAUAAUGUUGUAAGCUAUGAUAAUCAGUUUCUUACUUGACUGACCAUGCAUAGUGGGACUUUCCACAGGAGGCACAAAUUCUACUGAACAUAAUCGAGGAUAAUGAAGGUUGCUACCAUCACUUGACAAGAAAAUGCACCAAUUUACAAGUGAAG
rnacentral:lncRNA from 14 species